rnacentral:rRNA from 1 species
AUGGCUCAGAUUGAACGCUGGCGGCAGGCCUAACACAUGCAAGUCGAGCGGUAGCACAGAGAGCUUGCUCUCGGGUGACGAGCGGCGGACGGGUGAGUAAUGUCUGGGAAACUGCCUGAUGGAGGGGGAUAACUACUGGAAACGGUAGCUAAUACCGCAUAAYGUCGCAAGACCAAAGUGGGGGACCUUCGGGCCUCAUGCCAUCAGAUGUGCCCAGAUGGGAUUAGCUAGUAGGUGGGGUAACGGCUCACCUAGGCGACGAUCCCUAGCUGGUCUGAGAGGAUGACCAGCCACACUGGAACUGAGACACGGUCCAGACUCCUACGGGAGGCAGCAGUGGGGAAUAUUGCACAAUGGGCGCAAGCCUGAUGCAGCCAUGCCGCGUGUGUGAAGAAGGCCUUCGGGUUGUAAAGCACUUUCAGCGGGGAGGAAGGCGAUAAGGUUAAUAAC